AUACGGAGGGGGCAAGCGUUAUUCGGAAUUAUUGGGCGUAAAGGGCGCGUAGGCGGCCUGACAAGUCAAAGGUGAAAUCCUCCCGCUCAACGGGAGAACUGCCAUUGAAACUGUAAGGCUUGAGGACAGUCGAGGUAGGCGGAAUUUAUGGUGUAGCGGUGAAAUGCAUAGAUACCAUAAAGAACACCGAUAGCGAAGGCAGCUUACUAGACUGUAUCUGACGCUGAGGCACGAAAGCGUGGGGAGCGAACAGGAUUAGAUACCCUAGUAGUCC
rnacentral:rRNA from 1 species